rnacentral:hammerhead_ribozyme from 2 species
AAGCGAAACAUGGCUCGUUGUAGCCGUGUCUAUUCAGCGUAGUGGCUGGGUACUGAUGAGCAGCUAAAA